rnacentral:lncRNA from 1 species
CAGCUCCCCGUGCAGACCCCGCCCCGCGCCUGCGCAGUGCCGGAACCGCCGCUUUCCCGCGCGGGUGAGGAGUCGGGUCUGUGGGGGGAUUGGCAGCGCUGGGUACCCGCUGCUCAGCAGGGACCUUUCCGUGCUUCUGUGCGGGCUUUGGGCCCCGUGGGGAACGAGCCUCCCGGUGAGGAAGAGGCUUCUCGGUUGGGGGCUGGCCCCUCCCCGCCGUUCCCGUUUGAAGUCGGUCAGGGGCGAGAGGGCUUCCGGGCUGCGGCGGGAAUGCCAGGGCGCUCACUGGGUUUUGCUUCUUAGUUGAAGGAUGAGAAGUAGUAAGGAGCCGUUUUUUGUGAAGUUCAUAAAGUCUUCCGGGAGUUCGGAGUAUUUUUCUAAAGCUCUUGAGUCUAUAAAAGAAUUCCAGUCAGAAGAGCAUCUCCAGAUCCUUGAAGAAGCAUCAGUACUCAAUAUAAAAGAAAGUGGACUUCAUCCUGUAUUUAGGGAAGAGAGUAACCAGCAAAGCAUAAUGAUUAUUUUCAGUAAUUUGGAAAAGCAAACAGUAUGGUCAGUUCUGAUUCUGCUGGAGUGCCUGAGCUGGUUCUUACACUAUUUAUCUCCUGAUAAACAUGAUUUGGUUUGAAUCUGCAAGGAGUAGUCUAGUGGACAAAGAUAGGCUAGCUGGAAUUCCUGGC